rnacentral:rRNA from 1 species
CCUACGGGAGGCAGCAGUAGGGAAUAUUGCUCAAUGGGGGAAACCCUGAAGCAGCAACGCCGCGUGGAGGACGAAGGUUUUCGGAUUGUAAACUCCUUUUGUUAGAGAAGAUAAUGACGAUAUCUAACGAAUAAGCACCGGCUAACUCCGUGCCAGCAGCCGCGGUAAUACGGAGGGUGCAAGCGUUACUCGGAAUCACUGGGCGUAAAGAGCGCGUAGGCGGGGUAGCAAGUCAGAUGUGAAAUCCUAGGGCUUAACCAUAGAAAUGCAUUUGAAACUGUUAUUCUAGAGUAUGGGAGAGGUAGGUGGAAUGCUUGGUGUAGGGGUAAAAUCCGUAGAGAUCAAGAGGAAUACUCAUUGCGAAGGCGACCUGCUAGAACAUAACUGACGCUGAUGCGCGAAAGCGUGGGGAGCAAACAGGAUUAGAUACCCCGGUAGUC